UUAGGCUGUUACCUACAGCUCAUGAACUCCAAAAAGAGUGAAACCAUUUAAUAUAGGUCCUGUAGUACUGGCCUGAUGACCU
ensembl:misc_RNA